CGGCAGGCUUAACACAUGCAAGUCGAGGGGUAACGGGGGUGCUUGCACCCGCCGACGACCGGCGCACGGGUGAGUAACGCGUAUACAACCUACCUUAUGGCGGGGAAUAGCCCAGGGAAACUUGGAUUAAUGCCCCAUGGCACCGUAGAGCGACCUUGCUUUUCGGUUAAACAUUUAUGGCCGUAAGAUGGGUAUGCGUCCCAUUAGCUGGUUGGUAAGGUAACGGCUUACCAAGGCAACGAUGGGUAGGGGCCCUGAGAGGGGGAUCCCCCACACUGGUACUGAGGCACGGACCAGACUCCUACGGGAGGCAGCAGUGAGGAAUAUUGGACAAUGGGGGCAACCCUGAUCCAGCCAUGCCGCGUGCAGGAAGACGGCCCUAUGGGUUGUAAACUGCUUUUGUACGGGAAGAACCGUUCCGACGUGUCGGGAUUUGACGGUACCGUAAGAAUAAGGAUCGGCUAACUCCGUGCCAGCAGCCGCGGUAAUACGGAGGAUCCGAGCGUUAUCCGGAAUCAUUGGGUUUAAAGGGUCCGUAGGCGGAAAGAUAAGUCAGUGGUGAAAGUCGGUAGCUCAACUAUCGAAUUGCCGUUGAAACUGUUUUUCUUGAGUCAUUGUGAAGUGGUNGGAAUAUGUAGUGUAGCGGUGAAAUGCAUAGAUAUUACAUA
rnacentral:rRNA from 1 species